AUUGAACGCUGGCGGCAUGCUUUACACAUGCAAGUCGGACGGCAGCGGGGUAGUGCUUGCACUACUGCCGGCGAGUGGCGAACGGGCGAGUAAUAUAUUGGAACGUACCGAGUAAUGGGGGAUAACCAAUCGAAAGAUUGGCUAUUACCCAUAACCCCCUGAGGAGGAAAGCAGGGGCCUUCGGGGCCUUGCGUAUUUCAGGGGGCCAAUAUUGGAUUAGCUGGUUGGGGGGGUAAGGGCCUACCAAGGCGAGGAUCAGUAGCGGGUCUGAGAGGAUGAUCCGCCACACUGGACUGAGACACGGCCCAGACUCCUACGGGAGGCAGCAGUGGGGAAUUUUGGACAAUGGGCGCAAGCCUGAUCCAGCCAUGCCGCGUGUCUGAAGAAGGCCUUCGGGUUGUAAAGGACUUUUGUUAGGGAAGAAAAAGGAGCGGUUAAUACCCGUUUCUGCUGACGGUACCUAAAGAAUAAGCACCGGCUAACUACGUG
rnacentral:rRNA from 1 species